AUUCAGCUGACGAGUCCCAAAUUGGACGAAUUGCACAUCAAACUGGAU
rfam:Schistosoma rodhaini strain Burundi genome assembly, scaffold: SROB_scaffold0002631